CUGCAGUCGACGGUGACGACGGGCUUGCCUUGUCUGAUCAGUGGCGAACGGGUGAGUAACACGUGAGUAACCUGCCCCUGACUCUGGGAUAACCGUGGGAAACGACGGCUAAUACCGGAUAUGAGAUGCCCACGCAUGUGGAGUGUCUGGAAAGACUUGUUGGUCAGGGAUGGACUCGCGGCCUAUCAGCUUGUUGGUGGGGUAAUGGCCCACCAAGGCGACGACGGGUAGCCGGCCUGAGAGGGCGACCGGCCACACUGGGACUGAGAUACGGCCCAGACUCCUACGGGAGGCAGCAGUGGGGAAUAUUGCACAAUGGGCGAAAGCCUGAUGCAGCGACGCCGCGUGAGGGAUGAAGGCCUUCGGGUUGUAAACCUCUUUCAGCAGGGAAGAAGCGAAAGUGACGGUACCUGCAGAAGAAGCGCCGGCUAACUACGUGCCAGCAGCCGCGGUAAUACGUAGGGCGCAAGCGUUGUCCGGAAUUAUUGGGCGUAAAGAGCUCGUAGGCGGUUUGUCGCGUCUGCUGUGAAAACCCGAGGCUCAACUUCGGGCUUGCAGUGGGUACGGGCAGACUAGAGUGCGGUAGGGGUGACUGGAAUUCCUGGUGUAGCGGUGGAAUGCGCAGAUAUCANGAGGAACACCGAUGGCGAAGGCAGGUCACUGGGCCGCAACUGACGCUGAGGAGCGAAAGCAUGGGGAGCGAACAGGAUUAGAUACCCUGGUAGUCCAUGCCGUAAACGUUGGGCACUAGGUGUGGGGCUCAUUCCACGAGUUCCGUGCCGCAACAAACGCAUUAAGUGCCCCGCCUGGGGAGUACGGCCGGCAG
rnacentral:rRNA from 1 species